rnacentral:rRNA from 1 species
AAGGAUCAUUACCCUUCU